UUACUUGCUUCCGCAGUAAAUUUACUAAAACUUGAACGAUAUAGAGAAGAUUAGAAUGACCAUUGCGGAAAGAUAACACACAAAAUCGUAAAGGUGCAACAUUUUCAU
rnacentral:snRNA from 1 species